rnacentral:rRNA from 1 species
UCUCACACUGGCCGUCGUCUUUACAGCCUAACACAUGCAAGUCGAGCGGUAACAGGAAGAAAGCUUGCUUCUUUGCUGACGAGCGGCGGACGGGUGAGUAAUGCCUAGGGAACUGCCCAGUCGAGGGGGAUAACAGUUGGAAACGACUGCUAAUACCGCAUACGCCCUACGGGGGAAAAGAGGGGAUCUUCGGACCUUCUGCAGAUUGGAUGUACCUAGGUGGGAUUAGCUAGUAGGUGAGGUAAUGGCUCACCUAGGCGACGAUCCCUAGCUGUUCUGAGAGGAUGAUCAGACACACUGGGACUGAGACACGGACCAGACUCCUACGGGAGGCAGCAGUGGGGAAUAUUAGCACAAUGGGCGCAAGCCUGAUGCAGCCAUGCCGCGUGUGUGAAGAAGGCCUUCGGGUUGUAAAGCACUUUCAGCGAGGAGGAAAGGUUAACAGGUUAAUACCCGUUAGCUGUGACGUUACUCGCAGAAGAAGCACCUGGCUAACUUCGUGCCAGCAGCCUGCUGGUAAUACGAGGGGUGCAAGCGUUAAUCGGAAUUACUGGGCGUACAAGCGUACGCAGGCGGGNUGAUUAAGCGAGAAUGG